AUGCCCUUGGAUUUUACGAAGAAUUUCCCGGCCGUGCAGACGGAGUUCAAGCUGAAGACGAACACCGGCUGCUCAUGGAGGGUCACGGUGAAGCUGAUGAACGACAGGGUCACCCUCGAUUAGGGUUGGGCCUCCUUCGCCGCCUUCCAUCGGAUCAAGAUUGGGUACAUGGUGACCUUCAAGUUGCUGACUCCCGACAUGCUCAAGGUCAUUGUCUUCAACGACGACGGCAUUGAAGUGGUGACCAGUGCAGGAGGCACGACGACGCCUUCGACGUGA
rnacentral:rRNA from 1 species